UAACUACGUGCCAGCAGCCGCGGUAAUACGUAGGGGGCUAGCGUUAUCCGGAAUUACUGGGCGUAAAGGGGUGCGUAGGUGGUUUUUUAAGUCAGAAGUGAAAGGCUACGGCUCAACCGUAGUAAGCUUUUGAAACUAGAGAACUUGAGUGCAGGAGAGGAGAGUAGAAUUCCUAGUGUAGCGGUGAAAUGCGUAGAUAUUAGGAGGAAUACCAGUAGCGAAGGCGGCUCUCUGGACUGUAAACUGA
rnacentral:rRNA from 1 species